AACUCGCCUGCAUGAAGUCGGAAUUGCUAGUAAUCGUAGGUCAGCAUACUACGGUGAAUACGUUCCCGGGUCUUGUACACACCGCCCGUCACACCAUGGGAGCUGGUAACACCCGAAGUCAGUAGUCUAACCGCAAGGAGGACGCUGCCGAAGGUGGGAUUAGCGACUGGGGUGAAGUCGUAACAAGGUACC
rnacentral:rRNA from 1 species